AGGCAGCCCCCUUUUUCAAAGAAAAAAUAGGAAGGGAGGUGUUUAUCUGCUCGUAGAUUAAACCAUACUUUUGCUCUUCAGAUUUGCUGAGAUUUGUAUCUUUGAAGCUGGUCUAGUAGGCAUUAGUACAUU
rfam:Ipomoea nil DNA, scaffold: scaffold0813, cultivar: Tokyo-kokei standard.